GCCUGGCUGGCUCAGUCGGUGGAGCAUGGGACUCUUGAUCUCAGGGUUGUGAGUUUGAGCCCCAUGCUGGGUG
rnacentral:tRNA from 1 species